rnacentral:snoRNA from 1 species
CUGCAGUGAUGACUUCUUAGGACACCUUUGGAUUCUACAUGAAAACAAACUUGUGAAGUCUGAGCAGC